rnacentral:rRNA from 1 species
UUGGAGGGCAAGUCUGGUGCCAGCAGCCGCGGUAAUUCCAGCUCCAAUAGCGUAUAUUAAAGUUGUUGCAGUUAAAAAGCUCGUAGUCGAAUUUCGGGAUCAAUUUAUCGGUCGUGCCUAUGGUAUGAACUGGUACAAUUGGUUUCUCCCUUCUGACGAAGCAUGAUGUCAUUAAUUUGGUGUCGUGGGGAAUCAGGACUGUUACUUUGAAAAAAUUAGAGUGUUUAAAGCAAGCAUUAGCUUGAAUACAUUAGCAUGGAAUAAUGAAAUAGGACGUUUGAUCCUAUUUCGUUGGUUUCUAGGAUCGACGUAAUGAUUAAUAGGGAUAGUUGGGGGCAUUAGUAUUCAAUUGUCAGAGGUGAAAUUCUUGGAUUUAUUGAAGACUAACUACUGCGAAAGCAUUUGCCAAGGAUGUUUUCAUUAAUCAAGAACGAAAGUUAGGGGAUCGAAGACGAUCAGAUACCGUCGUAGUCUUAACCAUAAACUAUGCCGACUAGGGAUCGGAUGAUGUUAAUUUUUUAAUGACUCAUUCGGCGCCUUACGGGAAAC